rnacentral:tRNA from 1 species
GCCCAGAUAGCUCAGUUGGUAGAGCAUCUUACUUUUGAUCCUAGGGCUGUGGGUUCAAGCCCCACACUGGGUG